GCCCGGCUAGCUCAGUUGGUAGAGCAUUCGACUCUUACCAGGGUUUCAGGACAGUGAUCAUCGAAUUGUCGUGGGUUCGAGCCCCACGUUGGGCG